rnacentral:rRNA from 1 species
AGAGUUUGUGUACCUGGCGUCAGGAGUGAACGCUGGCGGCGUGCUUAACACAUGCAAGUCGAACGGUGAAGGAGAGCUUGCUCUUUGGAUCAGUGGCGAACGGGUGAGUAACACGUGAGCAAUCUGCCCCUGACUCUGGGAUAACAGUUGGAAACAGCUGCUAAUACCGGAUAUGAGACGUGACCGCAUGGUCGACGUUUGGAAAGAAUUUCGGUCAGGGAUGAGCUCGCGGCCUAUCAGCUUGUUGGUGAGGUAAUGGCUCACCAAGGCGUCGACGGGUAGCCGGCCUGAGAGGGUGACCGGCCACACUGGGACUGAGAUACGGCCCAGACUCCUACGGGAGGCAGCAGUGGGGAAUAUUGCACAAUGGGCGAAAGCCUGAUGCAGCAACGCCGCGUGAGGGACGACGGCCUUCGGGUUGUAAACCUCUUUUAGCAGGGAAGAAGCGAAAGUGACGGUACCUGCAGAAAAAGCGCCGGCUAACUACGUG